rnacentral:pre_miRNA from 1 species
CAACUACUCCCUCUGUCCCAAAUUUCUUGUCUUAGAUUUGUCUAGAUACGGAUGUAUCUAAUACUAAAAUGUGACUUGAUACAUCCGUAUCUAGACAAAUCUAAGACAAGAAUUUUGGGACGGAGGGAGCACUUU